rnacentral:rRNA from 1 species
GUGGGGAAUUUUGGACAAUGGGCGCAAGCCUGAUCCAGCAAUGCCGCGUGCAGGAAGAAGGCCUUCGGGUUGUAAACUGCUUUUGUACGGAACGAAAAGGCUCUGGUUAAUACCUGGGGCUCAUGACGGUACCGUAAGAAUAAGCACCGGCUAACUACGUGCCAGCAGCCGCGGUAAUACGUAGGGUGCAAGCGUUAAUCGGAAUUACUGGGCGUAAAGCGUGCGCAGGCGGUUUUGUAAGACAGACGUGAAAGCCCGGGGCUCAACCUGGGAAUGGCGUUUGUGACUGCAAAGCUGGAGUGCGGCAGAGGGGGAUGGAAUUCCGCGUGUAGCAGUGAAAUGCGUAGAUAUGCGGAGGAACACCGAUGGCGAAGGCAAUCCCCUGGGCCUGCACUGACGCUCAUGCACGAAAGCGUGGGGAGCAAACAGGAUUAGAUACCCUAGUAGUCC